CUGUAAGGGAGGGGAGGGGCUUAUUUGAAUUUCUGUCGGUAACAAGUUGGGACAUGUUCUGUGUGAGGAGUCCGUUGCUGCUGCGUCAGACAGGAGAACUUGACCUGUGAGAACUGUGAGAGCUUGGAAGCAUCAACACCAAGUGGAAUGGUUUACUUGGAGUUCAAAAGGUUUGGGGGCAAGAACCUCAAGCAGAAAUUCUAUGAAGGUGUUGAUGGGCACAGUCCUGCUCGUAUUCAAAUAUUUUGAUCCAAUAGAGGGAAGGUUGGGCAGCUAUUCACAGUUCUCACAAGAUACCAAGAGCUGAUAUCCACACGGAGGCCUUCCCAUUAUUCUUGGGAGACAACCCGACAGACUUCUUCACUUCUACUUCUUGACUCUGAUGAUGACUCCUUCCACCAUAUUGAUAUUAGGAUCCUCCUUGUUGAGCAUGAAAGUGCUGUGCUCUCGUCUUCCCUGCAUCUCAGUUCAGCCUCAAUGAAGAUCAUCAUCGAGGGAGAAGUUUUGAUGGGCCUGCCGAAGGCUGUGUAUUCUGUUUGGACUAGCAUACUUAUUUUAUUACCCUAAGUCUGUGACGUUCACAAAUGGUGCUAGUUCUUGUGUGUCUUUACUUUUCUUUAGAUUGACAAGCUUUUUUACUGCUGUGAUAAAAUAUUUAAAUGGUUUUGUGAACAAUAAAAUGCAUUUGAGAAUUUAAA